AAACACCUAUGUGAACAAUGCAAAUAGGAGAAAACCAAAGAGUUCUCAAAAAUUCAGAUUCUCCUAAAAGUAGCAAACCAAAAUGCCAUUACUUCUACAUGGCCCAUUUCACAAGUGGUUUCAGCAGUACAAAUUGGGGUAUUUCAUUUUUUUGCUAAGUUUACAACACUGCUUCAGACAAAGAAAGCCUAGAUGAAAGCUUAGAUGACGUUAUAAAAAACAUACAGAAUACUUUUUUAAAAAAAUAAAGGCAAGACUAAA
rnacentral:lncRNA from 1 species